rnacentral:piRNA from 1 species
CUAGCUGAAGUUUGAGUCCACUGUUC